UACGAAGGGGGCUAGCGUUGCUCGGAAUCACUGGGCGUAAAGGGUGCGUAGGCGGGUCUUUAAGUCAGGGGUGAAAUCCUGGAGCUCAACUCCAGAACUGCCUUUGAUACUGAAGAUCUUGAGUUCGGGAGAGGUGAGUGGAACUGCGAGUGUAGAGGUGAAAUUCGUGAGAUAUUCGCAAGAACACCAGUGGCGAAGGCGGCUCACUGGCUCAUUACUGACGCUCAGGCGCGAUAGCGUCGGGGAUCAAACAGG
rnacentral:rRNA from 1 species